AUGGACAAGAUGAGGGUGGCGGUGGUUGGUGGUGGACUAAGCGGGAUGGUGGCAGCGCACGAGCUGGCAAGGAGCGGCGGUGCUAGCGUGACGGUGUACGAGCAGGAGGAACAUCUUGACGGGAACGCCUGCAGGAGUGUGGCCGUGGACGGCGUCCACCUCGACCUCGGCUUCAUGCUCUUCAACCGGGUGGGCACACCCACUGUGACGUACCCAAACAUGGUCGACUGGCUGCAAGGGACGGGUGUGGAGAUGGAGAGGUCGGACAUAUCCAUGUCGGCGCAGCUGGCCGGCGGUGCCAACUGCGAGUGGGGCGGCGGCGUUGUCUCCUGGUUGCUGGCGCAGAGGAGCAACGCGCUCAGCCCCAGCUUCUGGCGCAAGGUCCGUGAGGUUUUCAAGCUGAAGACCGACGCCCUGAGGUACCUCGAAGACCAUGAAAGCAACCCUGAUCUCGACCGGUGCAACAAGACGCUGGGGCAGUUCGUUCAGUCGCAUGGCUACUCCCAGCUGUUCCAGGAAGCUUACCUGGUAUGA
rnacentral:rRNA from 1 species